rnacentral:rRNA from 1 species
AACGAACGCUGGCGGCGUGCUAACACAUGCAAGUCGAACGGAAAGGCCCUGCUUGCAGGGUACUCGAGUGGCGAACGGGUGAGUAACACGUGGGUGAUCUGCCCUGCACUUCGGGAUAAGCCUGGGAAACUGGGUCUAAUACCGGAUAGGACCAUCGUUUAGUGUCGGUGGUGGAAAGUUUUUCGGUGCAGGAUGAGCUCGCGGCCUAUCAGCUUGUUGGUGGGGUAAUGGCCUACCAAGGCGUCGACGGGUAGCCAGCCUGAGAGGGUGGACGGCCACAUUGGGACUGAGACACGGCCCAGACUCCUACGGGAGGCAGCAGUGGGGAAUAUUGCACAAUGGGCGCAAGCCUGAUGCAGCGACGCCGCGUGGGGGAUGAAGGCCUUCGGGUUGUAAACUCCUUUCAACCAUGACGAAGCGUUAUGUGACGGUAGUGGUAGAAGAAGCACCGGCUAACUACGUGCCAGCAGCCGCAGUAA